CGCGAACAAACUAUAUUGAUAAAUCUUUAUCAUUACCUUUAACAAAACAGAUUACAGUGAAAAAAAAGUUCUUGUUUAAAAAAAAAAAAGCAGUUUCAUAUAGCCUCCUAAGCACAAAAUUAUAGCUUAAUAAAGGAAAAUCCCAAUCCAAAGCUCUAGCCUCUUAACCCAAAAUGAAAACAAAAAGCAUGGAACAUAUAAUUCAGUUUUAUUAUUAGAUCUUCUAAAUCCCCACUUUAAAUCCAAUGCAAAGAUAAUACCACCAACUAAGGGUGGCAAUCUAACUCUGGUUGUGUAUGUUAGUGAACUUUAUGCAACUCAAAAUAUAAAAUUUAAUCAGUUUCAGAUAGUCUCCUAAGCGUCUACAAACUAUUAACAUUAUCUCCCCAAGUUUUUUUGCCAAUUUCAUCGAUAGCAAUGUUAUUGAUAGUCUGCUAAGCAUCUGCAAACCAUUAACAUUAUACCAACUUAAGAGAUAGCAAUUACACAUUCCACCGUUAUACUGGCUAAAAAUAGUCAAAGGAUGCCACAAUUAUAUAGCCAAAUCUAGUCCCAACGUGCAUGAAUAAAAUGUAACAACAGAGUCACAAAAUCACCGUAAAUAAAUAUACCUCAAAAGCCAAAGGGCCAAGUGGUCCCUCCAACGAUUCAAAUUUCUGAAAAUCACAAACAUAGCAAAUCCAAGCACUAACUUACAGAAUAGUAACGAAAAUAGCUUAGAAAUCACAAAAUCACCGUAAAUAAAUAUACCUCAAAAGCCAAAGGGCCAAGUGCUCCCUCCAACGAUUCAAAUUUCUGAAAACAAAGUGAAAUAUGUUUUUCAUGCAAAUUGUUGAUGAUAGCACAUUUUAACGAAUCAUAUUCAAAUAAGGAUGUCUCCUUGAACAAAUAACACACAUACCGAUCAUUCAUGUCUCUCCUUUUCAAAUAACACACAGUGAUCCAAAACAGGGUAUAUAAAAUGGACAUCCUUGUACAUUUCUAACUCUCUUUUUCAAAAUCCAAAACAGGGUAUUCUAACUCUCUUUUUCAUUCAUUUCACACAAACAAAUCAUACAUUUAAAAUAGUGCUUGAAUAAAAACAGGGUACAUAAUUAUAUACCUGAAAAUGCCAAGGAACCAAUUUCUCCCUCCAACAAUCGAAAUUUCCUGAAAUUCCAAAACAUAGCAAAUCCAUUAGCAAUAUCCCCGAUUACAUGAAACCAAAUUGGGAUUUCAGAGCUUCUUUGGGUUUGGAAUAGAAUUUGGGGGUUUGGAGUAGCUUUUGGAGGCUGUGGGUUCAACCUUCUGUGGCUGAGAAGAGGAGGAAGAGGAAGGGAGUGA
rnacentral:lncRNA from 1 species